UACGUAGGGCGCAAGCGUUAUCCGGAAUUAUUGGGCGUAAAGAGCUCGUAGGCGGUUUGUCGCGUCUGCCGUGAAAGUCCGGGGCUUAACCCCGGAUCUGCGGUGGGUACGGGCAGACUAGAGUGCAGUAGGGGAGACUGGAAUUCCUGGUGUAGCGGUGAAAUGCGCAGAUAUCAGGAGGAACACCGAUGGCGAAGGCAGGUCUCUGGGCUGUAACUGACGCUGAGGAGCGAAAGCAUGGGGAGCAAACAGG
rnacentral:rRNA from 1 species